rnacentral:rRNA from 5 species
AGAGUUUGAUCAUGGCUCAGAUUGAACGCUGGCGGCAGGCCUAACACAUGCAAGUCGAGCGGUAGCACAGAGAGCUUGCUCUCGGGUGACGAGCGGCGGACGGGUGAGUAAUGUCUGGGAAACUGCCUGAUGGAGGGGGAUAACUACUGGAAACGGUAGCUAAUACCGCAUAAUGUCGCAAGACCAAAGUGGGGGACCUUCGGGCCUCAUGCCAUCAGAUGUGCCCAGAUGGGAUUAGCUAGUAGGUGGGGUAACGGCUCACCUAGGCGACGAUCCCUAGCUGGUCUGAGAGGAUGACCAGCCACACUGGAACUGAGACACGGUCCAGACUCCUACGGGAGGCAGCAGUGGGGAAUAUUGCACAAUGGGCGCAAGCCUGAUGCAGCCAUGCCGCGUGUGUGAAGAAGGCCUUCGGGUUGUAAAGCACUUUCAGCGGGGAGGAAGGCGGUGAGGUUAAUAACCUCAUCGAUUGACGUUACCCGCAGAAGAAGCACCGGCUAACUCCGUGCCAGCAGCCGCGGUAAUACGGAGGGUGCAAGCGUUAAUCGGAAUUACUGGGCGUAAAGCGCACGCAGGCGGUCUGUCAAGUCGGAUGUGAAAUCCCCGGGCUCAACCUGGGAACUGCAUUCGAAACUGGCAGGCUAGAGUCUUGUAGAGGGGGGUAGAAUUCCAGGUGUAGCGGUGAAAUGCGUAGAGAUCUGGAGGAAUACCGGUGGCGAAGGCGGCCCCCUGGACAAAGACUGACGCUCAGGUGCGAAAGCGUGGGGAGCAAACAGGAUUAGAUACCCUGGUAGUCCACGCCGUAAACGAUGUCGAUUUGGAGGUUGUGCCCUUGAGGCGUGGCUUCCGGAGCUAACGCGUUAAAUCGACCGCCUGGGGAGUACGGCCGCAAGGUUAAAACUCAAAUGAAUUGACGGGGGCCCGCACAAGCGGUGGAGCAUGUGGUUUAAUUCGAUGCAACGCGAAGAACCUUACCUGGUCUUGACAUCCACAGAACUUUCCAGAGAUGGAUUGGUGCCUUCGGGAACUGUGAGACAGGUGCUGCAUGGCUGUCGUCAGCUCGUGUUGUGAAAUGUUGGGUUAAGUCCCGCAACGAGCGCAACCCUUAUCCUUUGUUGCCAGCGGUCCGGCCGGGAACUCAAAGGAGACUGCCAGUGAUAAACUGGAGGAAGGUGGGGAUGACGUCAAGUCAUCAUGGCCCUUACGACCAGGGCUACACACGUGCUACAAUGGCAUAUACAAAGAGAAGCGACCUCGCGAGAGCAAGCGGACCUCAUAAAGUAUGUCGUAGUCCGGAUUGGAGUCUGCAACUCGACUCCAUGAAGUCGGAAUCGCUAGUAAUCGUAGAUCAGAAUGCUACGGUGAAUACGUUCCCGGGCCUUGUACACACCGCCCGUCACACCAUGGGAGUGGGUUGCAAAAGAAGUAGGUAGCUUAACCUUCGGGAGGGCGCUUACCACUUUGUGAUUCAUGACUGGGGUGAAGUCGUAACAAGGUAACCGUAGGGGAACCUGCGGUUG